rnacentral:tRNA from 1 species
GCCGCAGCAGCUCGAUCGGACGAGCAUCCCGGUCCUAACGGGAAGGGUGCCGGUUCGAUCCCGGCCUGCGGUUCCA